CCUCUUGUAGCUCAAUGGUAGAGCGCCGUUUUGUGAGACCGGUGACCUGCGUUCGAUUCGCAGCAGGGGGA
rnacentral:tRNA from 1 species